UACGUAGGGGGCUAGCGUUGUCCGGAAUCAUUGGGCGUAAAGAGCGCGUAGGCUGCCAGAUAAGUCCGGUGUGAAAGUCACAGGCUCAACCUGUGAAUGCCGCAGGAAACUGUCUGGCUAGAGUACGGAAGAGGCAAGUGGAAUUCCUGGUGUAGCGGUGGAAUGCGCAGAUAUCAGGAGGAACACCUAUAGCGAAGGCAGCUUGCUGGGACGUUACUGACGCUAAGGCGCGAAAGCGUGGGAGCGAACGAGG
rnacentral:rRNA from 1 species